ACCUGGGUGGCUCAGUCGGUUAAGCACCUGACUUAGGCUCAGGUCAUUAUAUUACAGUUUGUGGGUUCGAGCCCCACGUUGGGCU
rnacentral:tRNA from 1 species